GACGAACGCUGGCGGCAUGCCUAAUACAUGCAAGUCGAACGCACUCUCGUUUAGAUUGAAGGAGUUUGCUCCUGAUUGAUAAACAUUUGAGUGAGUGGCGGACGGGUGAGUAACACGUGGGUAACCUGCCCUAAAGUGGGGGAUAACAUUUGGAAACAGAUGCUAAUACCGCAUAAAACCUAACACCGCAUGGUGUAGGGUUGAAAGAUGGUUUCGGCUAUCACUUUAGGAUGGACCCGCGGUGCAUUAGUUAGUUGGUGAGGUAAAGGCUCACCAAGACCGUGAUGCAUAGCCGACCUGAGAGGGUAAUCGGCCACACUGGGACUGAGACACGGCCCAGACUCCUACGGGAGGCAGCAGUAGGGAAUCUUCCACAAUGGACGAAAGUCUGAUGGAGCAACGCCGCGUGAGUGAAGAAGGUUUUCGGAUCGUAAAACUCUGUUGUUGGAGAAGAAUGUAUCUGAUAGUAACUGAUCAGGUAGUGACGGUAUCCAACCAGAAAGCCACGGCUAACUACGUG
rnacentral:rRNA from 1 species